rnacentral:rRNA from 1 species
UGGUGGAGUGAUUUGUCUGGUUAAUUCCGAUAACGAGCGAGACCUCAGCCUACUAACUAGUUAUGGGAAUCUUCGGAUUCCUGAUCAACUUAACUUCUUAGAGGGACUAUCGGUGAGUAGCCGAUGGAAGUUUGAGGCAAUAACA